rnacentral:rRNA from 2 species
GAAUGCUGACAUAAGUAACGAUAAAGCGGGUGAAAAGCCCGCUCGCCGGAAGACCAAGGGUUCCUGUCCAACGUUAAUCGGGGCAGGGUGAGUCGACCCCUAAGGCGAGGCCGAAAGGCGUAGUCGAUGGGAAACAGGUUAAUAUUCCUGUACUUGGUGUUACUGCGAAGGGGGGACGGAGAAGGCUAUGUUGGCCGGGCGACGGUUGUCCCGGUUUAAGCGUGUAGGCUGGUUUUCCAGGCAAAUCCGGAAAAUCAAGGCUGAGGCGUGAUGACGAGGCACUACGGUGCUGAAGCGACAAAUGCCCUGCUUCCAGGAAAAGCCUCUAAGCAUCAGGUAACAUCAAAUCGUACCCCAAACCGACACAGGUGGUCAGGUAGAGAAUACCAAGGCGCUUGAGAGAACUCGGGUGAAGGAACUAGGCAAAAUGGUGCCGUAACUUCGGGAGAAGGCACGCUGAUAUGUAGGUGAAGCGACUUGCUCGUGGAGCUGAAAUCAGUCGAAGAUACCAGCUGGCUGCAACUGUUUAUUAAAAACACAGCACUGUGCAAACACGAAAGUGGACGUAUACGGUGUGACGCCUGCCCGGUGCCGGAAGGUUAAUUGAUGGGGUUAGCGGUAACGCGAAGCUCUUGAUCGAAGCCCCGGUAAACGGCGGCCGUAACUAUAACGGUCCUAAGGUAGCGAAAUUCCUUGUCGGGUAAGUUCCGACCUGCACGAAUGGCGUAAUGAUGGCCAGGCUGUCUCCACCCGAGACUCAGUGAAAUUGAACUCGCUGUGAAGAUGCAGUGUACCCGCGGCAAGACGGAAAGACCCCGUGAACCUUUACUAUAGCUUGACACUGAACAUUGAGCCUUGAUGUGUAGGAUAGGUGGGAGGCUUUGAAGUGUGGACGCCAGUCUGCAUGGAGCCGACCUUGAAAUACCACCCUUUAAUGUUUGAUGUUCUAACGUGGGCCCCUUACCGGGGUUGCGGACAGUGUCUGGUGGGUAGUUUGACUGGGGCGGUCUCCUCCUAAAGAGUAACGGAGGAGCACGAAGGUUGGCUAAUCCUGGUCGGACAUCAGGAGGUUAGUGCAAUGGCAUAAGCCAGCUUGACUGCGAGCGUGACGGCGCGAGCAGGUGCGAAAGCAGGUCAUAGUGAUCCGGUGGUUCUGAAUGGAAGGGCCAUCGCUCAACGGAUAAAAGGUACUCCGGGGAUAACAGGCUGAUACCGCCCAAGAGUUCAUAUCGACGGCGGUGUUUGGCACCUCGAUGUCGGCUCAUCACAUCCUGGGGCUGAAGUAGGUCCCAAGGGUAUGGCUGUUCGCCAUUUAAAGUGGUACGCGAGCUGGGUUUAGAACGUCGUGAGACAGUUCGGUCCCUAUCUGCCGUGGGCGCUGGAGAACUGAGGGGGGCUGCUCCUAGUACGAGAGGACCGGAGUGGACGCAUCACUGGUGUUCGGGUUGUCAUGCCAAUGGCACUGCCCGGUAGCUAAAUGCGGAAGAGAUAAGUGCUGAAAGCAUCUAAGCACGAAACUUGCCCCGAGAUGAGUUCUCCCUGACUCCUUGAGAGUCCUGAAGGAACGUUGAAGACGACGACGUUGAU